rnacentral:sRNA from 1 species
CGCACACACACACACACACACACACACACACACACACACACACACUGUCUAGGAAGGAUAGAUGCUAGUAGCACUCAUUUUAUAGUAAAUUCUAGUUUUUUUCAAGUUCACAAACCUUUAAAAUGUGACGUUUGUGUGAAUGUACUAGAUGCUGGAAAUAGCAUCCACCAUAGUCACUAGCCCAAACACAUAUGAUUUAGGACACACUUUCUCAUUAGCCAUGACCGCAUUCCCUUCUUUAGUACAGUCCUCCUUAAUGAUCUGAGAUUGCUGGUUUAGCAUAGACAAGAAAAUUUUUUCCCUGUAGGUCAACUGGUAUCAGUUUUUAAAAGGCAGCUCUUUCCAAUGGCAUCUUUAAUGUUGAAGACAUUCUACUUUGUGUCUUAUGUAGUCAUUGAUGAUGACUGAGUAGUCAGUGUUACUGAAAAACUAGAUUUUACUUAAAUUUAAAUUGCUACUUCUUAGUUGCUACUGUUUUAGACGACAACACAGGCCCAGAAUAAGAUGCUCUCCUUCCCUUCACUAUUGGAGAAGCACAUAUAGAGAUGAUUCAGAAAAAUGUCAACUACUUUGCCUUUUUAAUCAUAUAUGCUCAUUAAAUAACAUUUUAAGAUGAAGGAAAAAAGUGGUAAUCUUUCCCUCCAAAUCUGCUAUUAAAGUUUCUAGUAAAAUUCACUGGGCCAGUGAGAUGGCUUAUGAUGUGUAGGGGCCAGGGGGCCUGAUGACCUGAGCUCCAUCCCCAGAACCUAUACAACAGAAAGAAAACUCCUUCACGUCAUCCUCUGUCCUCGGCAUACUCAUAUGGUGCACAUCAUAACACAUCCCUGUGUCAUAAUAAAUGCAAAAGUCCAUAAAGAAAUAUGAUAAAACUUUUAAAAGAAGUUGGAUUUGUUAGUAUUUUUUGUUCUAGGAAUCUUUUUAAUAUAUAAUCACUUUUGUAGGAUUCUGAAACAAUGUAACAUUAUGAGAUUAGUUCCCUCUGAUUGUUUAUGUAACUUCACACCUGCCAACAACUUGACCAGUUCCUGUAUUUUUGCUGAUACAUUAUUUUGCUUCUGUGUUUUCUUUUUAUAUGAAGGAAAAUAAGAUGAAAAAGUUAACGUGUUGGUUUUUGCUGUUGAGCAGAGAGAAAUCUCCAUGGCAAGUUUUAGACAUUAAAACCUACAUGUGGAACUGAGAGAGCAAAGGAGAAGCCCCUCCACUGUGACUACUUUUUGUUCUGUUUGUCUUGCAGUAACAUCAACUUGAGAGAGGAGCAUGGAUUUCGCAGUCCUGUUUUCAAUAUUUAUCUCCUUCUGAAUACUGUGAAAAGAAUAAUGUCAAUUUGAUGAUCGUUCCUAUCACCACACUCAUUGGAGAAGAACUGGAGUGGCAGCUAAUGCAGAGACACACAACCGGCAAGAUACAGAGAUUUAAGGGACUGCAGAACACUCAGCCCUAAAUGGAACAUCUGGACUGUAUCACUCUUCUCAAGGUGCAGGGGCCAUCAUAGAAGAGGAGGCAGAAGUAAACCCUGCGAGUCAGAGGUAGAAUGAACACUGGGAAACAGUGACCUCUGGACACAGUAGAACAGCUGCACAUAUGAACUCAUGGAGGCUAUGGCAGCAUGCAUGAGCCCUGUGUAAGCACAAGCCAGGGUGAACACAGCAUGGGGAGCAGAGACGAGCAUGAAUGAAGUCCCACUCUUAGCCAAGGAGCUGUUGGCAACUGCUGUCUAAUGGGGGAGUGGCAGCAGGAGACAGUAUGCCUAAAGAGCUUUGCUACCAAUAGGCAGGAAUGUUUAAUGUUAACACUGAAAAUGUACUUAGUUUUGAAAAAAAGAAAUUACAAUAAAGGAGGGUUUAAAACAUGGCUUCCCAGACUGCUAGACUUCAGCCCUUACUCACAGUUCCUGCCUCAUUACCAUAUUCCCCCACAAAGCUAGAUUCCUGAGACGCCAUGAAGCAGAGGUAAAAGUGG